AUAUCUAUUUCCAAUUGCAAUUGUGAGUGCGUAAAUGAAAGCAAUAGAAAAGGGAGGAAAUUUUGGGCGUUUACAUGAGUAGAUAAGAAAGAGAUGGACAUGCAGGAAAUUUUUGAAAAUUCGGAAAUAUACAUACAGAUGAAUCUCUAUCAACAAA